rnacentral:misc_RNA from 1 species
AUGAGAUUGAUACAAAAUCAGUAAGACAUGAAUAUAUUGCUGAAUCUAGUAACAGUGCUAAUGCUGCUGAUGACAAUUUCCUGCUUGAUGAGCCAUUCUUGGAUGCCAUUGACAAUCCUUUAUCCAGUGAAGGAUUAUUCCUGGAAGCUAAUGAUCUUUCAAAUCCUGUGGAGCCAGACUCUACUGGAGAUUCUACUGUUUUUGACAUGGUUGACGAGUACCUCAAUUUCUUUGAUGCUAAUGAUGACAAUCUGACUUUUGAUCCUUCUGAACUUGGGUGCGAAAAUGCUGUUUCCGAUCAAGCUUCUCUACCUGAGAAGGAUGUAAAUGGAGGAACUGAGGAAGUGCCAACGGCAAUCCAAAAACUAUUAGCAACACACAGUAACACUGAUGCAUCCCCCUCAAAGCAACAAAUGCCAGUGGCAACAAAGAUUGACUCAGAUAUGAAAUAUCCAUUCAUGAAGCAGGCCAGUCACAUGUU